rnacentral:lncRNA from 1 species
GCUCGCGCGCCGCACAGGGCUUUCUCCCGCGUUGCGGUUGCUCGGGAGAUGCUGGAGCUCAGCGCUGGGCUGCUCCACCUGGCGCGCUGAGCCAGGCGCUGGGGGCCCCCAAGGGCGGGCUGCUUUGCGGGAGGGGGAAGCGGACUGCGGUAGAAUGCAAGACGCGCUCCUCCGGCGCUGCGAGACAUCGCUCCAGCGCGGUCAGGUGCUGGAAGCCAGCCGCUCGCCGCUCCACUAACUUGCCACUUGGUAGUGUCUGGUCUCUACGCUUUCCGGUGGUGGGGGGCGGGGGGAGUGGGGAGUUAGAGGGUCUGCGGUAGCCGAAAGAGGGAUCCUGCAAGGGGAAGCCUGCCUGCUGCCGCUCUUCUCCCCCUCCCCAUCACUCCCCUCCCCCCAACCCCAUCGCUGCCGCUUUCCCUUCCGCCAAUUCGGAGAGCGACGGGCGCCUGUGACAUGCGAUCGCUGCCAAGUGACGGUCCCUGAGUGUGAAGUGCCCGCAAGGAAGUGAGCUCCAAAGCGGGCCGCCGGCGAUGACAGCCAUGAAGCAGGAGCAGCAGCCCACCCCGGGGGCGAGGACAAGCCAGGCGCAGCCGGUGGACCAGGU